GUAGGCAACGACCCGAAGGGCGAAGCGCGCAGCGCUGAGUCAUCCUUCCCCCACCACCA
rnacentral:sRNA from 1 species